rnacentral:lncRNA from 1 species
UAGUUACUUUCCACUGCAAUAACAGUUUUUUAGUUGGAACAAUAUAAUGUAAUAAUUUCCAUCUAAAUAUUUUUAAUUUAUUUUCAGUCAUAUAUUCAAAAAUAAAUUUGUACAAUGUAUUCAUAUUAAGAGUUUCUUGUAUUGGUAGGAUUCUAAGCCAUCUGUUUAUCCCUAUUGACGACUCUAGUUUUAUACUUAUCAAAGAGUUAUAUGACAUUUUAUUUAUUAAUUAUGUAGUCUUGAUAAAAUUAUUUUUCCAUAUGAUUUUAUUUCUCUGAAUAUUAACUGUAGUUUUGACAGAAUUCUCUUUUUGGACAACUUGAAUCCAUUCUGC